rnacentral:ncRNA from 2 species
GUGUCCGAGGAGCGUUGCAAGGCCGGUCGAUUCAGGCGACCGCCCCAGGCUCGGACCCCUUCCCACAGGCAACGGCGCUCACCCGUC